UUUUUAUGGUUAAUAAGAAGCACUUUGAUAUUCUGAUAGAGAUGCCUUCAGAAUUAUUUUUCAAGACCACUUUUUGAGUAUUCAUUUUAGGAUAGAUUUAGGUUAAUUGUAUAGAGUUGUCUUGGACUAUUUUAGCUGAAUAUAUUAGUUGGCGGAUUAAAAGGAAACCCUGCCAGGGAGUGCAAAAGAAAAGAAUCUAGGACCACUUAGAAGGACAGAUUUUGUUUCGGGUGGGCUUUGGCCCAGCUUUUGUGGAGGAGUGCUGGCAGAGGGUCUGGUGCUGGACCAAGCUUCGGCUUUCAGUCUCCAGAGGCCACCCAGACUUGGGAAUGUGCAGCUGUGGCUUCUGCCACCAGGCCAACUGGCUAUUCAUGAUGAAUCAGCCAGUUUUAGUGGACCUGGAGGAAUUAUUCCAUGCAAAGACCCCGGACCUCCCAGUGACCAGGCAUCUGACACGAAAGCCCAUCUGCCCCAAGUGUCUUCCCCCUCAUCUCCUGCGAGGGCCCCCUGCCUGAUGAGAAUCUGGUAGCCAUGGGCUGCCUGGCACGGGACUUCCUGCCCAGCUCCAUCUCCUUUUCCUGGAACUACAAGAACAACUCCGAGGUCAGCAAGGGCAUCAGGACCUUCCCAACAGUGCUGGCAGGGAGCAAGUAUGCAGCUACCUCCCAGGUGCUCUUGUCCCCCAAGGACGUCUUUGAGGGCAAAGAUGACUACCUGGUCUGCAAAGUCCAGCAUGGCUCCAACAACAAAAACCUGCAAGUGCCCUUUCCAGUGACUACAGAGCAGUCUCCCAAUGUGACUGUGUUCAUCCCACCCCGAGAUGCCUUUACUGGCUCUGGCGUACGCAAGUCCAGUCUCAUCUGCCAGGCCACAGACUUCAGCCCCAAGCAGAUCACAGUGUCCUGGCUGAAGGAUGGAAAACCCGUGAAGUCUGGCUUCAUCACAGAACCGGUGACAGCUGAGGCAAAAGGAUCCACCUUCAAGAUCACUAGUACACUAACCAUCACAGAGAGCGAGUGGCUGAACCUGAACGUGUUCACCUGCCGUGUGGAUCACAGGGGGCUCACCUUCACAAAGAAUGUGUCCUCAACAUGCAGUGCUGGUCCACCCAUAGACAUCCAAGUCUUCGCCAUACGCCCCUCCUUUGCCAGCAUCUUCCACACAAAGUCGGCCAAGCUGACUUGCCUGGCCACAGACCUGGGCACCUAUGAAAGUCUGAACAUCUCAUGGACACGCCAGAGUGGUGAGCCAGUGAAAACCCACCUCAACAUCUCCACCAGCCACCCCAAUGGCACCUUCAGCGCUGAGGGUGUAGCCAGUGUCUGUGUGGAAGAAUGGGAGUCUGGGGAGCAGUUCACCUGCACUGUAACCCACACAGACCUACCUUCACCACUGAAACAGACCAUCUCCAAACCCAGAGGGGUGGCCAAGCACCCACCUGCCGUGUAUAUGCUGCCACCAGCCCGGGAACAGCUGAUACUGCGAGAAUCUGCCACGAUCACCUGCCUGGUGAAGGCCUUCUCUCCCCCAGACGUCUUUGUGCAGUGGCUGCACAGGGGGCAGCCCUUGUCCGCGGACAAGUAUGUGACCAGCACCCCGAUGCCUGAGCCUCAGAUCCCAGGCCUCUACUUUGCACACAGCAUCCUGACCGUGCCAGAGGAGGAGUGGAACUCAGGGGAGAGCUUCACCUGUGUCGUGGCCCAUGAGGCCUUGCCGCUCUUGGCAACUGAGAGGACCGUGGACAAGUCCACCGAGGGCGAAGUGAGCGCCGAGGAAGAGGGCUUCGAGAACCUCUGGACCACCGCCUCCACGUUCAUUGUCCUCUUCCUCCUCAGCCUCUUCUACAGCACCACCGUCACCCUGUUCAAGGUAAAGUGACUCACCCAUGGAAGGACACCAAAGACCAAGACACUGACUCACAGGAUACCAUCUCUGGACCUGGGGUAGCUCGGACUAUGUGGCUUGCAAACUUGUACCUAGAUCUUCCCUAUGUCACCCUUCAGCUUUGAGCUGUAAGACAGGCUUCUUUCUAGACUAGCCAAAAACCUGUCAACCUGAGGCACCUGCAGUGGCAGGUCUACCUGAACACUUCUGUGCCGUGUAUAUGUGUGACCUCAAAAUAAACAGAUAUUUCAUCUUGUGA